UAUGUCUUCUCUUCUCAGCAAGAUAGAAAAUUAUUGUUAAAAGGAUAAAAAGUCCUCAUAAUAACAUGGAUAAGACAUCCACGGAUAAGACAUCCACGGAUAAGUUUAGCUCAGCUGAUAUAUCUGUACUAAAGAAGCUACUGUUAUUUUCUCUUGGAAUGUUCAUUUUUCCAAUAGGAACAUUCUUUCUUCUUCAGAAAGGUUUACCUCAAGGUAUGAUAUGGAAGUGUUGUAAUACCUGUAGCUGGCAGUGUUAUAGCAGUGCACAUCGUAAUUGGUGCUUAUGUCUGGAUGGCUAUGCAAGAGAGUGAAGAUACCUAUAAAGAUAACCAGACACCCAAAGAAGACUAAUACUGAGGGCUAAUAAGCUCAUAAUUAUGACUGUGUGCUAUGCUGAACACAUACCACGUGAUGGAAAAAGUAAAACAUGUGAAUAUAAGAGUAUUUAACCUAUCAAGAAUCAAUAUGGACAAAUGAGUGAUGUUUGGUUCAAUGUUUUUUACGAUAAUAGGGCCAUUUAAACGAGAGAAAAUAAGUCGCGUAUUAGAUAAGAGCUUGGCAGGCUCGUAUAAAUGGACAGUUCGCGUCUUAUUUAAGUUGCGUCUUAUUUUUCAUCCUAUAAAUGGCCUUAAUAUUAUAGCACUGUAAUAGCAGACUAUGUGAGGAUGGCGCGAAUCGCGAUGUUACAUCUGGGAGUUAGUCACCCGCAGAGCCUGAAUUUAUUACCUACUUCAUUUACCAUAAGGUCACCACUUCCUUAUUCUACUACCAAACAUGAAUUUAGUAUUUGUCUAAAUAAAAGAUUUUUUAUGUACUUGUUGAAAAAAAAUGUUUUUCAUCAUUGCACGUAGCUAAUGAGAGUAAAUAGUUUGUGAGAGCAAAUUCCAUUGGUGGCAUUGGUUAAAAUAAUGAAGUUCUGACAUAAUUACAGAAAGUUUAUAAUUGUAUCAUAUUAAUUGAGAAAUUUAGAUUUUCAUGUACUAUUCCGGUCUGCAGGUAAGCGUAUCGUUAUUUUGUUCUUUCGUACUUCACCUGGACGGUGCUUUGUGGUAGACUAUAGCUAUAAGCUAUAUGGCUAUGGCGUUUGAACAAACAUUUAUAUCAUACCUGUACCUGUAAACCGAAAACGUGGAAAGAAUAAAUGGCUUUAAAACAACAUGUAGUAAAAAAACUUGAUUAUUAUUAAAAGUAAAACAUUA